rnacentral:rRNA from 1 species
GACGAACGCUGGCGGCGUGCUUAACACAUGCAAGUCGAACGGAAAGGCCCUGCUUUUGUGGGGUGCUCGAGUGGCGAACGGGUGAGUAACACGUGAGUAACCUGCCCUUGACUUUGGGAUAACUUCAGGAAACUGGGGCUAAUACCGGAUAGGAGCUCCUGCUGCAUGGUGGGGGUUGGAAAGUUUCGGCGGUUGGGGAUGGACUCGCGGCUUAUCAGCUUGUUGGUGGGGUAGUGGCUUACCAAGGCUUUGACGGGUAGCCGGCCUGAGAGGGUGACCGGCCACAUUGGGACUGAGAUACGGCCCAGACGCCGACGGGAGGCAGGAGUGGGGAAUAUUGCACAAUGGGCGGAAGCCUGAUGCAGCAACGCCGCGUGGGGGAUGACGGCCUUCGGGUUGUAAACCGCUUUCGCCUGUGACGAAGCGUGAGUGACGGUAAUGGGUAAAGAAACACCGGCUAACUACGU